UACGUAGGGACCAAGCGUUGUUCGGAUUUACUGGGCGUAAAGGGCGCGUAGGUGGUUGCUUAAGUGAGAUGUGAAAUCCCCGGGCCUAACCUGGGAACUGCAUCUUAUACUGGGUAACUGGAGUGCAAUAGAGGGUAGUGGAAUUUCCGGUGUAGCGGUGAAAUGCGUAGAUAUCGGAAGGAACACCAGUGGCGAAGGCGGCUACCUGGACCAGUACUGACGCUCAUGCACGAAAGCGUGGGGAGCAAACAGG
rnacentral:rRNA from 1 species